UACGUAGGGUGCGAGCGUUAAUCGGAAUUACUGGGCGUAAAGCGUGCGCAGGCGGUUGGUUAAGUCUGAUGUGAAAGCCCCGGGCUCAACUUGGGAAUGGCAUUGGAAACUGGCUGGCUAGAGUGUGGCAGAGGGGGGUGGAAUUCCGCGUGUAGCAGUGAAAAUGCGUAGAGAUGCGGAGGAACACCGAUGGCGAAGGCAGCCCCCUGGGCUGACACUGACGCCUCAGGCACGAAAGCGUGGGGAGCAAACAGG
rnacentral:rRNA from 1 species